rnacentral:lncRNA from 1 species
AAAAGUGAUGUCACAGAGCAACCAUGUGUGGCAAUGGAAUGUGCUGUAACAUGAAGAGUCUAAGAGCACAAAUGGAAAAUUAACCGUCAGGACCCGAGGGUUAUCUCUUCACUCCCUGCCUCCACAAGAUAAGGAAACUGAGGCAAAUAGGCAUAUGAGACUUGCCCAGGGUCAUCCAGCUUGUCAGAUUUGAACUCAGAAAAUGAGGCUUCUUGACUCCAGGCUGGAUGCUCUGUUCCCUGUACUAUACCCUUCCAGACUGAUUUCACUCUUGAGUGAAGAAAUCUUUUCUUCAGAUGUAGAAGAGCUAUUACCCUGCAUCUUAGAGUUUUAG